UUGGUCUGCAGGUUUAGGUUCAACAACAGUAUGUGCUGAAAGAAUGAGGUCAGCUGACUACCUGAAGAUACCGAAUAUAGAGCAGGUUAUUCCAUCAAUGGAUUUUUUCUUUCCUGGUGACACAGGCAUAUUCCAAGAUUGUUCAAGAUUGUUCACCACAGAGUCCAGAUCUUAACCUCAUUGAGAAUCUUUGGGAUGUGCUGGAUGGAGAAGAGCUGCUUUGUGCAGUGGUCAGACUCUACCAUCAUCAAUGCUGCUGCAAGAUCUUGGUAAAAAAAUAAUGCAACACUGGAUUGAAGUAAAUCUUGUGACAUUGCUGAAGCUUAUCAAAACAAUACCACAGUGAAUGUGUGCUGCAAUCAAAGCUAAAGGCAGUCCAACAAAAUAUUAAAGUGUGACCUAGGUCAGAUAUGUGGGAGCAGGCUUAACAUCCCCAUUCACAGCCAGGCUGGAUCAUCUUCCUGUGAUAAAAGUAAGCCCAGGAUCUAGAGCAGCCCACUGGGGCAGAAAAGCAGUAACAGGACUUCUCUGUGAAUGGGUGAACGAGCUAUAGGAAGAAGAAAAACAAAAAAAAAAGGUAAAAACAAGAGGUUAGGAGGGUCAUGGUGAACAGAGGAAAACCGGUCCAGUGGUCAGGCAUGAAGCAGCACCCACCCACUACUUGUACAGUCUGAUACUGCAGCAAAUAGGGACAAACUCUCUGUCAGUGCCUUCAAUUUCAUAAUAAAUAUGAGAUCAACGGGUGUCUACAGACCUUUGGACAUAUAUUGUAUUUUGAUUAAAAGUGUAAUUUAUUUUCUUAAAAAUGCAGCAGUUGUUAGUCUAUUUCAUGCCAUUUAACAGUUCAGAUUAUAGCACUUGUUUUCACACUGUACUAUUCUCAUUUCCAAGAUAAUUCCAGAUCCACUGUACCAGAUCCAUGAACAGAAAUUAAGGUGACUCAUUUAUUAAGGUGAUCAAUUAUUCACAUGAAUGUAACUGACAAAUUGUAAAGGUCUAACCUGCUGUACAUAUGUUGUGUGCUUAUAUUUGUUUAACUAUGUGUUGUUUUAUGUGGACAAAAGUAUAUGUGUUUAGUGCCCUAAAAGGAACAAUUUAAGAGGCCUUGCUGUUUGUCUCAGCACAUCGUAAAGAGCUAUUCUGUCAGAUUUUACAGGACUACUGAAUAUGAAUAUAUGAAUAUUAUAU